rnacentral:rRNA from 1 species
AUGCACGCUGGCGGCGUGCCUAAUACAUGCCAGUCGAGCGAACAGACGAGGAGCUUGCUCCUCUGACGUUAGCGGCGGACGGGUGAGUAACACGUGGAUAACCUACCUAUAAGACUGGGAUAACUUCGGGAAACCGGAGCUAAUACCGGAUAAUAUAUUUAACCGCAUGGUUCAAUAGUGAAAGACGGUUUUGCUGUCACUUAUAGAUGGAUCCGCGCCGCAUUAGCUAGUUGGUAAGGUAACGGCUUACCAAGGCAACGAUGCGUAGCCGACCUGAGAGGGUGAUCGGCCACACUGGAACUGAGACACGGUCCAGACUCCUACGGGAGGCAGCAGUAGGGAAUCUUCCGCAAUGGGCGAAAGCCUGACGGAGCAACGCCGCGUGAGUGAUGAAGGUCUUCGGAUCGUAAAACUCUGUUAUUAGGGAAGAACAAAUGUGUAAGUAACUAUGCACGUCUUGACGGUACCUAAUCAGAAAGCCACGGCUAACUACGU